AUUGAACGCUGGCGGCAGGCCUAACACAUGCAAGUCGAACGAGUGGCGGACGGGUGAGUAAUGUCUGGGAAACUGCCUGAUGGAGGGGGAUAACUACUGGACACGGUAGCUAAUACCGCAUACCAUCGGAUGUGCCCAGAUGGGAUUAGCUAGUAGGUGGGGUAACGGCUCACCUAGGCGACGAUCCCUCGCUGGUCUGAGAGGAUGACCGGCCAAACGGGGACUGAGAAACGGUCCAGACUCCUACGGGAGGCAGCAGUGGGGAAUAGUGCACAAUGGGAGAAAGCCUGAUGGAGCCAUGCCGCGUGGAUGAAGAAGGCCUGCGGGUUGUAAAGUACUUUCAGCGGGGAGGCGGUACCCGCAGAAGAAGCACCGGCUAACUACGUGCCAGCAGCCGCGGUAAUUC
rnacentral:rRNA from 1 species